AAACCAAAAUAAGUAAUUGUAUUUAUGAUAUUAUAAGAUCCUUAAUAACUGUCGUUAAAUAAUUAGGCAUAACUACAUAGCUAUUAGAAUAAUGAUUAAGAAGUUAUUAAUUGCCUUUCUUUUAGUUAACCUUUUGACCCUGCCAUCGAGAUUUUCCCAGCCACUAUGCCAUGCAGGGAAAAAACGCUAUUAGGCUAACUCACCGGAUGUGUACAGUUCGGAUGUAAAUCAGAAAUGGCCACGUAGGUAUGAGCAGUGGCAUGAGUGCACACCAUGAAGAAUAUGGCUUCUAGAAGAUGCUGAAUAUUUAUUUAUAACUCUGAAACCUUAUACACCAGAAGAGCUACUUCAUAUUCUCAGAGGCUGGGUUUCGGCUGCAGUAAACCAAAACCCUCCCACCAAGCACAAACAAUGGCGAUUCUCUUCAGUCAGACCUGUGAUGCUACAUCUUUGCUGAAUGUGCCCACAUCUUUGCAGUCAGACCUGUGAUGCAACAUCUUUGCUGAAUGUGCCCACAUUGUAGAUUCUCCAGAGACUGAAAUAUAGCAAUUAUAACUUGUUUGUGUAGCUAGGUAAAGGUAUUGUUGGCUUUUUUUUUUGACCGAAAGCGAUAUGCAUAAUCAUUGAUUAUUGACACAAUUCUCCAUUCUGAUUAAUUGAGUUCUCAAUUUUAUAUUUAAAAGUCUUCCAGAAUGGGCCAAUAAACAUAAUCUACAUAACAUAG